AACGAACGCUGGCGGCAUGCCUAACACAAGCAAGUCGAACGAAGCCUUCGGGCUUAGUGGCGCACGGGUGCGUAACGCGUGGGCAUCUGCCCCUGGGUUCGGAAUAACAGUUAGAAAUGACUGCUAAUACCGGAUGAUGUCUUCGGACCAAAGAUUUAUCGCCCAAGGAUGAGCCCGCGUAGGAUUAGGUAGUUGGUGGGGUAAUGGCCCACCAAGCCGACGAUCCUUAGCUGGUCUGAGAGGAUGAUCAGCCACACUGGGACUGAGACACGGCCCAGACUCCUACGGAAGGCAGCAGUGGGGAAUAUUGGACAAUGGGCGAAAGCCUGAUCCAGCAUUGCCGCGUGAGUGAUGAAGGCCUUAGGGCUGUAAAGCUCUUUUACCAGGGAUGAUAAUGACAGUGCCUGGAGAAUAAGCUCCGGCUAACUCCGUGCAGCCGCCGCGGUAA
rnacentral:rRNA from 1 species